UAACUUAGGCGGCAUGAUCUGUCGAACCUGGUCAGGCCUUGACGGGAGCAGCCAUAAGAUAAGAUUAUGCGCGCCUAAGCCCUUA
rnacentral:SRP_RNA from 1 species